rnacentral:rRNA from 1 species
UACGUAGGGUGCGAGCGUUAAUCGGAAUUACUGGGCGUAAAGCGUGCGCAGGCGGUUUUGUAAGCCAGAUGUGAAAGCCCCGGGCUCAACCUGGGAAUGGCAUUUGGGACUGCAAGGCUUGAGUGCGGCAGAGGAGACUGGAAUUCCUGGUGUAGCAGUGAAAUGCGCAGAUAUCAGGAGGAACACCGAUGGCGAAGGCAGCUCGCUGGGACGGUACUGACGCUGAGGCGCGAAAGCGUGGGGAGCAAACAGG